CCUACGGGUGGCAGCAGUGGGGAAUAUUGGACAAUGGGGGGAACCCUGAUCCAGCCAUGCCGCGUGUGUGAAGAAGGCCCUCGGGUUGUAAAGCACUUUCAGUGAGGAAGAACGCCUGGUGGUUAAUACCCAUCAGGAAAGACAUCACUCACAGAAGAAGCACCGGCUAACUCCGUGCCAGCAGCCGCGGUAAUACGGAGGGUGCGAGCGUUAAUCGGAAUUACUGGGCGUAAAGCGCGCGUAGGUGGCUUGAUAAGCCGGUUGUGAAAGCCCCGGGCUCAACCUGGGAACGGCAUCCGGAACUGUCAAGCUAGAGUGCAGGAGAGGAAGGUAGAAUUCCCGGUUUAGCGGUGAAAUGCGUAGAGAUCGGGAGGAAUACCAGUGGCGAAGGCGGCCUUCUGGACUGACACUGACACUGAGGUGCGAAAGCGUGGGUAGCAAACAGGAUUAGAUACCCUUGUAGUC
rnacentral:rRNA from 1 species